rnacentral:lncRNA from 1 species
AUUUCAUUGCCCGAACUUGCUCCGGCAACCCUUUCCAGAACACGAAGCAUUGCCUAUUACAGGGCAUCAUCCUUGGCGGCUCUAUCAUACGGCCCAUUCUCAUCCGUCGGUGGUGGUCGUGCUACUCCAGUGGGUAUGUGUUCAGAAGACGAAGAUCUAGCUUGAGUACUACCUCGGCCUCGACCACGGCCUCUUCCCUGAGUAGCUCUCGUACUCAUAUCGAUUUAUCUUGAUUACGAAUUUUUAUGCAUCAAUUCAAUAUUCCAGUGUUUAUUACAGAUGUUUUAUGAAUCAGACAGUAAUUCAAAGUUUGUUUUCGCAGAAUCGAAGUCUAGCUACAGUUUCAGUCUCUUAUCAGAUUUUCCUAUGGUUUCAGUAUCAUCCUAUCUAGAGUAUCCUAGCAGGAUUUCAGUACAGACAGAUAAGUCAGAAAAAUAUUCAAAAGAGUUCAGAGUAAUACUUACAGACUUGAGCCGGAGAUUCGGAAUGCCACCUUCUAAAGAUCUAAAUUUUGAAAAUCGAGUUUUUCGCAUUCUUUAUAAAAUUUUUGUUUUCGAAAAUCUUUCUUUUUAUAAACCCAUUCCACAGCCGAGUUGUUGCAACCUAGGCUCUGAUACCACUAAAUGUAGCACCCCAAACCUGGCCCAGAAGUUAUGGCUGGAUCUGGCAUGCCACAUCAAAAACGUUAAAAAAAAUUCCAUUCUAAGUCCUGAAAAUCGUACUUGAUGUUCAAAAGAUUAAUUCAUUAAGGAUUAAAGUGAAUGGAAGCUGUGCACCAGCUAGGAAACCGGAAAAGAGGUGGUGAGUCCAUCGGACUGCUUAAGUACCAAGCUCCCUUCGGAUCCAAUCCUAGACAUGCAUACCGCCAUUACCACACCUUAACGUCAUGGAUAUUUCGAGGAAACCGAUUUGAUUAAGUCAUUUUUAGGAAAAGUGAUUAAUUUUGGAAAAUACUUUCAUUACGGAAGCUUUGCUUGUUGUCGUGUUAUUUUGAAAUCAAUUGUUGUUUUUGAAAACGCGCCCUAAAGAUAUCCAAUUUCGACAGUUAAAAUAAGUAUUACCUAUCUUAGUAAUACAUAUUAAAACUAUCAAAAAUAUUUAAGCGGCCUUAUUACAUUUAAAAGCCCAAAAACUUCAAACGUAAAUAAAAGGAUGUCCAGUUCACCAGAAGGAAAUUAAACUUUCAGAACGGGUGGCCACUCCGAAUUCCCUCACAGUUCCAAGCCCACUAUGGUUGGGGAUUUCCUGCGUGGAUGAAAAUAAAAGGGGUGAGUUUGGGGAAACUCAGUGUGUAAAUUAACCCAACCAUAGCCUAUAUCAGCUCAAACCAUAGAAAUAGAAUAAGUUGGCCUUAGCCCAAAACAGAAUUCAGAAUAAAGCCCAUAGGCCCAUAACAGAACAGAACAGAUAUUACAUGUUUAUGCAGAAACCCAACCAUAUCCAACCGUAUACACCCCCGUACCAACCUUACACCGUGUGGGGAGACAACUCGACCCACCCAACCGCUAUACACCAUAGAAUUUGCAGCAUGGCUGCCAGAACAGAUAAUGUGACAGAGUCACCAGAUACAGAUAAUCGUGGCAGAGCCACCAGAACAGAUAUAUGUGGCAGAGCCACCAGAUCAGAUAUUUGUGGCAGAGCCACCAGAUCAGAUAUUUGUGGCAUAGCCACCAGAACGCUUCCUCCAUAAUAUAACCCAUGUCCCCAUGCAGCAGAUAUAUAAUCAUGGCAUACAUCAUACAGAAUCAGAUCGUCAUGCUUUUCAGUCAAAAUUAACCCUAGGGGUAUAACGGUAAUUUUGCACCUAGGGGUAUAACAGUAAUUUUCCAUACAUAGGGGUAUUAUAGUAAUUUAGCUACUUUUAGAGUUUUCAUGCAUAUCCUAACUAUUUACGUACUAUCAGAACACUUACCGCGCAUACUUACCGAAUUGGGCCCGUUGACCCAUGAACCCGAUCUUUGGCCCAUUAAGCCCAAAUUAUCAAAAUGUACGAAAUCGCGUGUACUGCAGUUUACUACUUUAGAUUACCAAAUAUACAAACCCAACUAUUUUACGAGCAUUCGCACACUCGCAAAUUCCCAAAAUACCGACUUUUCGGCAUUUCGGCUUUUCGGCUUUUGCCAAUCUAGUCUAUGAGAGGGUGUCAGUUACACACCUGUUUGCGACGAUAUGCUGACGAGAUCCAAACACGAACUGCCUCCAAUUGGAUUACUAACACAUUAAUCUAACUGUUCAAAUACGAACUACGUAUUAACCCCUUACAAUAUUCGGCCAACCACACCUACAGAUCAUAGUAAGCUUAUAAGAAAUCAAUAAGCAACUCAUUAACAAAUUUUUGUCAAUGUUUACCACAUAAUCAUAAUUUCACUGCAAGCUAUCUUCCUGAGCAAUAGUCACUAGAUCAUUUAUAGCUGGAGCUAUGAAACUCCAAAUCAAGUUCCAUUAAUUUUCCUUGAAAAUAGACUCAUAUAUAUUCUAUCCAUAAAAUUUUCAGAAUUUUUAGUUUAGCCAAUCAAUACCAGAUUUUUCUCAAAGUUUCCCAUGUUUCACUGUUUGACUAAUCUGACCACCCUUCAUUACGAAUCAAAUUUCUCAUUGUACAGAAUUCAAAAUGUGUUCUUGUUUAUUUCAUUAGAAACUAGACUCAAUAAGCUUUAAUUACAUAAUUUAUUCAGCUUCUAAUUCUUCUCCCACAAUUUAUGGUGAUUUUCCAAAGUCACGUUACUACUGCUGUCGCAAGCAGAUUUAUUACCAAAUCACUCUUUCACACAUACCUUGCAUGCAUGUUAUUUAAACAUGUAUAUCACCAAUCAAUCAUCGCAUAUCUAUGAUUUUACUUAAGUAUAAUCUCCAUUUCAUCAUUUUAAAGCACAACAUGUUAGCUGAUUUUUCCCUUUAACAUCUAAGGCACAUGCAUGCUCAUUUGUUUGGCUCAACUUCACCUAUCUUCCAUUUUUCAUCAAAAGAACAUGAAACAACAACCAUUUCCUUCAUUUUAAUUCAUGACUAAAUGCUCACAACACAACUAAAAAUCAAAAUAUACUUCAAGAGUUAAGGUAGAAUCAAGAAGAACUCAUGGACCUCAAAAUAGAAGCAAGGUACCAAGAACUUACCUUCAAUUUUCCUCCUCCUAAUGACCAAAAACUCAAGAGCUUUCUCCUUUCCUUUCUCUUUUCUAACUUUCAUCUAUGAUGAACAAAGAUGGACAAAACUUUGUUCUUUUCACCCCUUUUUCUUUUAAUAAAACUUCAUAUUUCAUCCAUUUAAUUCUUUAAUACAAAAGACAUGAAAUUCUUAUCAUGAAACAUUUACCUAACCCAUUAUCAUUUAACAUUUACCUAACCUAUUAUCAAUUUGUACCAUAAAUUAUGGAUAUGAAGUGUACAUUUUAUCUACAACAACAUGAUGGCUGGCCACUUCAUGUAAAAUGGGAGGUUUGUCAUGCAAAUCCUCCUAUUUUUCACUCCUAUUUAUUUGGCCACUUCAAUUUAGCCUAUAGCAUUUUCAAACAUUUUCACAUAGGUUCUAUUUCAUGAUUUCACCCCCUUUUUGUUAUGAAACAAAUAUUAACUAAAAUUGACGGGUUCUAUCUUAAGCUUGGGCUUUCUAGAGGCCCACUAACAUAAUUAAACCUAUGCCAAAAUUCACAUGAUUCCCGAAAAUUGAGGCGUUACAACUCUACCCUCCUUAAAGAAAUUUCGUCCUCGAAAUUUACCUAAUCCAGACAGAUGAGGGUAUUGCUGUUGCAUCGUCUCUUCUAGCUUCCAAACUCAGAAGUUUCCCCUUCCUUAACUUGUUGAAAACGAGCGACCAAAGACUCAUCGUUCAACUGUUUUUCCUUAAUCUGAUCCAACCAGGUUGGCCUCACUUGCAACUCAGCCAACAGACUUCUAUCAUCAUACAGACUCAGACGAGCAAACAUUGCUCUCAGAUCAGAUACAGCUCUACAACUUAGAGCAUCGGCUACCACAUUAGCCUUGCUUGGGUGAUACUCGAUCGAACAGUCAUAAUCCUUAAGCAAUUCAAUCCAUCUCCUUUGCCUAAGGUUCAGCUCCUUUUGAGUUAACAAAUACUUAAGACUCUUGUGGUCUGUGUAUAUAAUACACCUUUCUCCGUACAAGUAAUGUCUCCAAAUCUUAAGUAAAAAUAUCACUGCUGCCAACUCUAAAUCAUGAGUCAAACAGUUUCCUUCAUGAGGCUUAAGCUAUCGUGAUGCAUAUGCAACCACCUUACCCUUUUGCAUUAACACGCAGCCCAAACCCACGUGUGAUGCAUCACUGUACACAGUAAAAUCAUUCCCAGACUCUGGCUGAAUUAACACAAGUGCUUCAGUCAAACAUUUCUUCAACUUCUCAAAAGCUUCCUGCUGUUUCUUAGUCCAUACAAACGGUACUCCUUUCCUUAUGAGUUUUGUCAGAGGUGCUGCCAUCACAGAAAAACCUUCUACAAACCUUCUGUAGUAUCCUGCCAGUCCUAGGAAACUUCGUAUUUCCGACACCGUCCUAGGUGGCUUCCACUCCAAAAUUGCUUCAAUCUUUCGAGGGUCCACCUUAAUCCCUUCGGCAGAGACCACAUGUCCUAAGAAGGUUACCUCCCUCAACCAAAAUUCACACUUGCUGAACUUCGCAAAGAGUUCCUUCUCCCUUAAUACUUACAGCACUAUACGGAGAUGCUCAUCAUGUUUCGUUUCAGUAUCAGAAUAUACCAGGAUAUCGUCAAUAAAGACGACUACGAACUGAUCCAAAAAUGGUUGGAACACACGAUUCAUCAGAUCCAUAAAUGCUGUAGGAGCAUUCGUUAGUCCAAAUGGCAUAACCAAAAACUCGUAAUGACCAUACCGAGUUCUGAAUGCCAUCUUAUGGAUAUCCGCCUCCUUGACCCUUAACUGAUGAUAUCCAGAUCGGAGGUCGAUUUUAGAAAAUACAGAAGGCCCUCUAAGCUGGUCAAACAGAUCGUCAAAUCCUUGGCAGUGGAUACUUAUUUUUAAUCGUCAGUUUGUUCAACUGGCGAUAAUCAAUGCACAUCUGCAUCGUACCAUCCUUCUUUUUCACGAAUAGCACCGGUGCUCCCCAUGAAGACACGCUUGGCCUAAUAAAGCCCCUAUCCAACAACUCUUAAAUUUGAGCAUUUAACUCUACUAACUCCUUCAGUGCCAUCCUAUACGGUGUGAUAGACACAGGCGCCAUUCCAGGCAACAAGUCUAUUCCAAACUCAACUUCUCGAUUCGGAGGCAAUCUUGGAAGCUUCUCCGAAAAACAUCUUGGAACUUCUUUACGGUCCUAACCUUAUCCACUGUCAGUCCCUUCUCUUCCGACUGACUUACAAAUACCAAUUAGGCCUCACAACCUUUCCGAAUCCACUUUUCGGCUCUUAAUGCCGACACCACAUUGGACAAAUAAUCCCUUCUUUCACCUAUCACCAUAACCUCCUCAUCCUUUGUAGUUCUUAACACCAUUCGUUUAGCAGCACAAUCCAGAGUCGCCUUAUGCUUAACAAGCCAAUCCAUUCCCAGAAUGAGGUCAAACUCUCCGAAAGAUAACUCCAUCAGAUCUCCAGGAAAAACCUUGCCUUGAGUUUCUAAGGGUACAUUCCUAUAAGUUUGUCUACCCUAACCGAGUGACCUAAGGGACUUAGUACAGAUACCCCACUCACAAUCUCCUCAGAGUAGUCCAAGUCGUCCAUAAUACGUUCUGUGGCCUUCAACCAAUAUUCUGCCACAUUCGGGGCUAUACCAGACACGCCCUUAAAGAUCUCCGUUCCGUUAGUCCCGAAGUCAUUUAGAGAUAGAUCCCUGAAUUUCGUUGCCCGAACUUGCUCCGGCAACUCUUUCCAGAACAUGAAGCAUUGCCUAUUACAGGGUAUCAUCCUUGGCGGCUCUAUCAUACGGCCCAUUCUCAUCCGUCGGUGGUGGUCGUGCUACUCCAGUGGGUAUGUGUUCAGAAGACGAAGAUCUAGCUUGAGUACUACCUCGGCCUCGACCACGGCCUCUUCCCUGAGUAGCUCUCGUACUCAUAUCGAUUUAUCUUGAUUACGAAUUUUUAUGCAUCAAUUCAAUAUUCUAGUGUUUAUUACAGAUGUUUUACGAAUCAGACAGUAAUUCAAAGUUUGUUUUCGCAGAAUCGAAGUCUAGCUACAGUUUCAGUCUCUUAUCAGAUUUUCCUAUGGUUUCA